GUUCGAUGUUUUCCCGAGCCGUGGAUCAGUUCGUCGGUGAGGAUGUUGGUCCGUAGAACAGGAAGGUAGCUUUCCGUCGAGGGUUGGUGUGUAGAAUUAAUUUAGGAGCGGCUGUAGUGUUGGGUGAUUUCUCGUCUGCACGGAGGACACUUGGGCCGUUGUUCCAGGUAAUGAGUUCGAGCAAAGGCGGCGCUCCCGAUUUCGUCGGCAAUGGAGUUUCUAAUGCUGCCGAUAAGCAGAUUCCCCCUGAUAGAGGAUGUGGAUGAAAGGGCACCGCCGCUGAAUCUGGUAGUGCGCGACGCCGCCGCAUCGAUGGUGGGUGCGGCCGUGCGGGGGUGGUGGAUGGGCGGCGGGAGUCGUCGCCGCAGGCAUCCGAACUAUCCAUCGGGAAGAUGAACAAGUAGGCUCCUCGCUCGACUAAGAGAGAUGUGCAGCACAGGGAUGAGACGUGAGGCGGAAGGCCUCGCCGCAGGCAUCGGAAUUGUCCACCGGGAAGAUGAACCUGCAGGCAUCUGAUUGGGCUAAGAGGUGCGUCCCCAUUAAUGUCAGUGUGUAGUUUUCAAUUUUUCGCUGGCAUGGAGCAGGUUUGCAUGAAUAGGUUUGGGAAUCUGGUAAAUUUAUUAGACUGAGUUCUGGUGGUCAUGGUAGUGUGAAAUGGAUUAUCAGACGUGGAACCCCUAGUAAACUGGUCUGGAUGCAGCGUUUAAACUUUUUAGAGAGAAUUUAACCAUGGUCAUGGACACGUAUAGUGAAUAGGGCGUUCAUAUUUUGUAAGACAGUUGGGAAUGUCUGGCGUUUAAUUAUCGACACAGAAAAUAGAGAAGUAAAAUUUUGAAUUUGAUGCAAUUUUCUGUUGAUCUUCAGAAGUGAGUAAGUGCUACCUGUAAUGAACUUUAUUAGUAAUUUGAUUGCUGAAGAUAAGCCGGUCUGCUGUAAGUUGUAAUAUAUGUGGCUAGACUUCCUCGGACAUGGCCUGUGGAAUUAUAGUGUGAUAAUAAUUAGCAAUGGAUUGUCAGAUUUAAAUCCCGUAGUCUGAACUGGUAUGGAUGCAGCGUUUAAUUUUCGAGAGAGAAGUUAUCCAUGAUCAUGAAGACGUGUAGUGAAUAGUGGAUUCUAUUAUGUAAGACAGUUCGGAAUGUUUGACGUUUAAUUAUCAAUACAGGAGAUAGAAAAUCAAAACCUUGAACCUGAUGCAAUUUCCGGUUAAUACUUUAGAAUUGAGGGAAUGCUACCAGCAAUGAAAUUUCAGAGUAAUUUGGUGGCUGAAGAUAAAACGGUUUCCUAUAAGUAUUAAUAUAUGUGGCAAGAAUUUCUGAUACAUGGCCUUUGGCCUGUGUAUAGGAUAGGUGCAUCAGCCCCAAGCCCCUCCUGUGUGAGGGGUGUGAGGGGCUAUGCAGAGAACCCUUCAGAAACUGUGAGUGUGCCGACUUUAGGUACAAGCUUUUACUCGCUCGGAGAGCUUUUGAUUCCUACAACUUAUAUUCCUGGAGAAAUAUUUUGUAAUAAGACAUGGAAGAGCAGAUUGGAUG